rnacentral:rRNA from 1 species
ACGCUCGACACCUACGAGAGGCAGCAGUGGGGAAUAUUGCGCAAUGGGGGCAACCCUGACGCAGCAACGCCGCGUGAUUGAAGAAGGCCUUCGGUUGUAAGAUCUUUAAUCAGGGACGAAAAUAGACGGUACCUGAAGAAUAAGCUCCGGCUAACUACGUGCCAGCAGCCGCGGUAAUCUGAGCGGGCUGGCAAGGC